rnacentral:tRNA from 1 species
GGGCUGUUAGCUCAGUCGGUUAGAGCGCUUGCGUCACAUGCAAGAGGCCGUUGGUUCGAGUCCAAUACAGCCCACCA